AAGCACUCAAACUGUAUACUCAAUCAUCUCCUUCAAUUAUCAUUAAAGUGAUCUGAUGUAAGCAAUUGCCCAGCUCCUGUGACACUUAAGUUUAUAACGAUGGGUUUCCUUGUUGUAGAAGUGCAUUUUGUUGUGAGUAUCUGUGUGUACAGACAAAGCAUAGAUAAGAGCAAUCUGUUGCAGACACUCCUGCAGAGUUGAGAGUGGUUAUAACCAGGAAGUCAUUUUCCAGUUACUUUUAGAGACCCUGGAUUCCAUAUU
rnacentral:lncRNA from 1 species